rnacentral:rRNA from 1 species
CCGCCACCGCUCGAGAGUUUGAUCCUGGCUCAGGACGAACGCUGGCGGCGUGCUUAACACAUGCAAGUCGAACGAUGAUGCCCAGCUUGCUGGGUGGAUUAGUGGCGAACGGGUGAGUAACACGUGAGUAACCUGCCCUUGACUUCGGGAUAACUCCGGGAAACCGGGGCUAAUACCGGAUAUGAGCCGCCUUCGCAUGGGGGUGGUUGGAAAGUUUUUCGGUCAGGGAUGGGCUCGCGGCCUAUCAGCUUGUUGGUGGGGUGAUGGCCUACCAAGGCGACGACGGGUAGCCGGCCUGAGAGGGCGACCGGCCACACUGGGACUGAGACACGGCCCAGACUCCUACGGGAGGCAGCAGUGGGGAAUAUUGCACAAUGGGCGCAAGCCUGAUGCAGCGACGCCGCGUGAGGGAUGAAGGCCUUCGGGUUGUAAACCUCUUUCAGCAGGGAAGAAGCGCAAGUGACGGUACCUGCAGAAGAAGCGCCGGCUAACUACGUGCCAGCAGCCGCGGUAAUACGUAGGGCGCAAGCGUUGUCCGGAAUUAUUGGGCGUAAAGAGCUCGUAGGCGGUCUGUCGCGUCUGGUGUGAAAACUCGAGGCUCAACCUCGAGCUUGCAUCGGGUACGGGCAGACUAGAGUGCGGUAGGGGAGACUGGAAUUCCUGGUGUAGCGGUGGAAUGCGCAGAUAUCAGGAGGAACACCGAUGGCGAAGGCAGGUCUCUGGGCCGCAACUGACGCUGAGGAGCGAAAGCAUGGGGAGCGAACAGGAUUAGAUACCCUGGUAGUCCAUGCCGUAAACGUUGGGCACUAGGUGUGGGGCUCAUUCCACGAGUUCCGUGCCGCAGCAAACGCAUUAAGUGCCCCGCCUGGGGGUACGGCCGCAAGGCUAAAACUCAAAGGAAUUGACGGGGGCCCGCACAAGCGGCGGAGCAUGCGGAUUAAUUCGAUGCAACGCGAAGAACCUUACCAAGGCUUGACAUGCACGGGAAGCCACCAGAGAUGGUGGUCUCUUUGGACACUCGUGCACAGGUGGUGCAUGGUUGUCGUCAGCUCGUGUCGUGAGAUGUUGGGUUAAGUCCCGCAACGAGCGCAACCCUCGUCCCAUGUUGCCAGCGGGUUAUGCCGGGGACUCAUGGGAGACUGCCGGGGUCAACUCGGAGGAAGGUGGGGAUGACGUCAAAUCAUCAUGCCCCUUAUGUCUUGGGCUUCACGCAUGCUACAAUGGCCGGUACAAAGGGCUGCGAUACCGUAAGGUGGAGCGAAUCCCAAAAAGCCGGUCUCAGUUCGGAUUGGGGUCUGCAACUCGACCCCAUGAACGUCGGAGU